AGCAGUGUCGGCGUGUGCAGUGCGUGCGGGGCCGAGCGAGGGAGUAUCGGAAGCUGUGUUCGGGAAGUGGUGGCAGCCCAUCCACGCGGCUCCACUCUCCUCCACUCUCCAUACUGCUCCUCCUCCAGACUCCUCCAGCUUCCAAAGAAAACACCAGAAGUAUCACGUGCUACCACGGUUCGUUCGGUGAAGGAGACACGCUCACACACUAUCACCCCCACAAGACACAGGGAUGUGAGCGCCUCUUUAGCUACUGCAGCCACCUGGGAGCCGGAGGUCACCCCGGCACCCACGCUCACGGUGGUUAGCUCCUUCUGCAGCCCCCGGUGGUUCACGAGAGACGCCAGAAACUCCUUGUCG